UGGUCUUCCUUUGUGCCUGAGGGUCUCCAUAAUCUUAAGGCAAAUCACUGGACCCUCUCUUCCUCCAUGUCUUCACCUAUAAAAUGAGGAUCAUGAUAGGAGCUCUUCUUUAAAGGGUAAUCCUAAAACCAAAAUUUACCCCCACAGUUAAACGCUCAUCUACACUGAGGCUAGUACUGUGCUACCUGCUGGAAACGGGAAUGAAUCUCCAUCCUCCAGGCUCACCAAAUGAGCUCAGGCUCUCAGAAGACCUAGGAAGGGCAUAGAGAGUGGUUUUACCAGCAUUACUGAUGGCUAGCUCUCUGGUGGUGGAGACCUUUAUCCACAGAAGGAAAGGUUCUCGUCUCAGUCUGCUGCUGCUGCUGCUGCUGGAAACAACAAUGGGACAGUGGCCGGAAUGUUCAGGCCCUUCUCAGCAGAACCUUCGAGGAGUGACACAGGCCUCCCAGAGAGUCUGAGGGGAGAAUGUCUGGUUGGCUCUCCGACUCGUGGGCUGUCAGUGCAGUGUGAGAGACCACAGGCCGAGAGGACUGACCAUUGUGAGGCUGCCCACUUCCCAGACAGUCUGCCCACGCAUUCCACUACCAGGUCAGAACUCCAAAAUUACUCAAUCAGGAGGCUCAAACCACCACUGUAAUAGGCUCAUCCGGUGGGACUCUGUGACAGUAUGGAUUGGAAGGCAGGGAGGAAGAGAGACUGGAGGAGGGAAUCUAAGCCAUUGUGUACAGGAAGCCAUUUGAGGAAGGAAAAGCAAAAAUGCAUUGAGUGCCUACUGUGGGUCAAGUACUAUGCUGGAUCUUUUACAUGUGUUAUUUCUUUAAUCCUCACAGCAAUUCUCUGAGAUAAGUAUUGUUCAAUGCCCAUUUUACAGAUGAGGAAACAGUAGCUCAGAGAGGUUAGCUGACUGGCUCAAGUUUGCCAAUAAGGAGCAGAGCCUGGUAGGAUUCAAACCCAGUUCUGACUGACACGGAAACAUUCCUUUUUCCAAUAUACCAUGACGCAGUGAUAAAAA